GUGUCUAUUUACACUAAACAGAAAUGACUACUUAAUUAUAUUUCAGGGCCCGACAAAUCGGUUACCUAUCGACAAAGAAACUGAGAAAUUGAAGUUCGAAAGACACCGUAUCAGAGGAUUCGAAUCUGCUCGCGCCCAAACUCCCAAGAAUUUCUCCAACAAUUUUCCAACAGUUACCAGACCUGAAUCAACACACGUGGCGCGCAUAAUUCAUCGCGGAGCACGGAAUCCCUUCGCCUAGGAACUCAUUAAAAAAGCAUUUGUCGCCCGUAACAGGAUACGAAGGAGUUCGCGAGGUCCCCGAAGGACGAAAAGCGCCAAGAAGAGAAAAGAACGAACCCUUGGCAAAAAGCGUCGUCGUUAUAUCGUCGUUCCCGUCGUGGCGGGGUUCUUCUUUGUUCAACAUGGCUUUUCCGUCGGUUCCCGCGCCACUGGAGCUGGGGAAAGCUUCCAGGCGGGAGCCAGUAGCCCGGUUAUUCAUUAAUUUCAAUUUUCCAGAGUUUUGCCUCCAACCCCUCCUCCGUUCCAUUUGCACACGCCCACGUGUACAUGCUUGCGUGAACGCAUGCGCCCGAUAAUGGCAAGGAAAAUUAAGCCGAAAAGCAACUCGACGAUUACAAUUCUAAAAUUGAGGUUGACUGUAAUUAUUUCAGGGGACGACGAGUACGAGAACUAGUGCGAUGAUGUUACAGUGGCACCACCAGUUGGGGUAUUCCCCAUCACAAUGACAAGAGUGGUCAGGCCUGUUCUAGAUACCCAAUUUAAAUAAUCAUCAAGUAUUCAUUUAAUUACAAAUAAAAUCGACAACUUAUAUUCAUAUUGAAACGUACAGAUGACUUUGAAGCCUCUAUAGACGCUAGGUUUAGUUUUAAUCAAUGAUAAAACAGCUCGAAGCAUAGUAAAAAACGCGUACCUUCCCCGAAUGAAUGGAAGCGAGUGGAACCGAUUCGAGAACAUGCAAACAGGGAUUGCAGUACCAUUCGGUGGGAACGCGAAUGCUAAUACCAAGGCUUAUCGGACACUGUGAUUAUUACGUAGGCAAUUUUCAACGAGGUAGUUUUAUACGCAGUCGCAAUAAAAAAAUAAAAAAACAACUAUGUUCUCAAGCGAUUCUCCCCUUCGCAUUGCUGUUUCCCAGCUUUCGUCGUCUCGAGUGUUUCUCCGUUCCGUGUUUCUCGUUUCUCCCUUCGUUUUACCGCGUGAGAGUCCAUCUUGUUCUUUUCCCCUGGAUAUCCGUCCCCACGUUUGUUCGUAAAAGUGUCACGAGGCAAUUUUCGUUUCACGAAUAAAAGCUUGAACGUGUAAAUAGACUAGAGAAACGAAUUAACUGUUGCAACGGAGAAAAUGUAUUAUUUUCUUAAUUACAACAAAAUCGAGAGGCAGCAGUUUAUUCACGUUGCUGAUAUAGUUUGUGAAACAAACAUGGCGACCUGCUCGAAGGUACACUGGUACAUUGGUCUGUAAAUUUCGGUUGCUUUAUCAUUCCUUUACCUUUAUUUGCUUUCUUUAUUUUAUUUUUAUUUUUCCAUUCCAUCUGCUGAUUGCCUUGCUUGCUCUGGACAAUAUCAGAUGACACCUACUGGAACGAACGGUAGAUCUAAACGAUAGUCUAAUCGCCCUCAUCUCCUGCCACUCGUCCACGUUCAGACCACUUCCUCGGGGAUCUUAUUAUACUCGUCGAACUAUACGUGAAACUAUACGACGCGCGUACAGGGUGAACCACGUAAUAAUGGGGAUCUCAUUAAACUUGUUGAGCUAUAGGUGAAAACAUGUCGUACAGCGUGGACCACGUAACAAUAGCGAUCUCAUUAAACUUGUUGAGCUACACAAGAAAACAUAACACAUACGCUAAACCGUGUAGGAAUAGGUAUCUCAUUAAACUUGCUUCAAAACAUUACGCACAGCUUGAAUAGCGUCACUUGUCCACUACUGUUAUUUCUGUCGACAAUGGGCCAAUCGACUUUGCGUUUAAACUCCCAUAGAGACAAUUACUGCAUCGAUAUCAAAGUCUACGGUACAAAGAAAAACACGGACCAAGCACCAUGUGAUCAAUCCCAGAAACGCAAAGAUGCCCCGUAGAGCUAUCAAGCUGCCAUCAAAUAUUAUGACAGAAAAUGAAGAAUAAAUGGCAUUCGGUGUUGAUUGCUAUCGUUCGUCGAGUGUUUGUUCGCCGCGAUUGAUUACUGUGCGCGGAAUCGUUCGUCGAUAAACGGGGGGAAAUGAAAAAAAAACUGACGAAUCGCUCGCAGCAACGCAUGGUGCAUAAUUAACGCCGCGCGCUGCCAUUAGUUAAAAAGCAAAAAGGAGGGAAAAAGAGAUUCGUAAUUGCCGCGGCAAACGAAUGGUAGGUAGCGAAAUCGAACCGGCGGCGAAUGUUUCUGUUGUAAUGAAUGUAGACUGACGAGUCGCUUUUAUACAAUCACAAUCGCGCUAUUGAUUUAACGGCGCCAGCAACCAACUUUUUGCUGGAUGGGCACGGUUCAGCAAUUGGAUUUAUUUAGCGAGAGGGUCUCGUCAAACAUCGCCGUUUGUUUUGCCGGUCGGCCACUCUAAAAGCUUCAUUUUCGGGACACCCAAGCCAAGAGCUACCCCGGCCAACUUUCCAUUCGACGCACAGUGUGAAAUUUCAGCGAUCUGCCGGGACAAAACUUAUGUUGUCUAAUUAGGCCGUUUGCACACGAAGCUGCUCAAAAGAAACGUAAAUGGUUGGUGAUUGAAAUCACGAACUAGUUACUUAUUGAUUAGUAAUGAUUUCGAAUAUUUUUAGAUAAAGCGUCGACCGCUACUCGGUAUUAGAAACGUAAAAUAUCUGCUGAUCGGGAAUGUGUCGAUGUAAACAUGUACAGUGACGAACAUCCUAAUGAAAUAAGAUUAACCAGAACGAACACCCUUAAUGUUUAUCACUCCAACUUGGCCAAACAUUCAGAGAUACCCUGUGUACGCUGAAAAUUUUUGACAAACUUACCUAUCGCUAAUACGCCGGUUCCUCAUACCCGUUUUCGCACCGCUAUCGAGUUCACCCAAUCAUGUAAUCUGGGAACGUCUUAUCCCUCCUGUAAAACGAUACGCCUGAGAUCCCAUUGCUGAAGAAGUUAUUACUGCUCCUGUCUACCGGAGAUCUUCGGUACAAGAACAGACGCCCGUUUUCCGCCCGAUUCUCUGGAUAAACGUACAACGACGUUGCCCAUUCCGCUACCAAAACAAGGAAUCGCUUUCGACGUCUUUCUUCUUCCUGAUACGUUCUUGGACAAACGAUUAAUCCACGAUGGUGUCCGGAAAUUGAGCUCUUCAAUUAUUUACACAACUCUUGCUUCUGUUCGUAGAAGUUCCAGACAGGCGUUGCGUGACAGUGCGGGAGAGCGGACGAAAUUAUUAUGAAGACGCUUCGCUUAUUCUAUGAAACAUGUGUAAGACUAUACUCGAGAAUGCGACGGCGGUAACGACUCGACACCGCCGACGACCGAAGAUGAUUAAACCUGAAGCGCGACGAUGUUGUGAACCUAUCACGCGCAUGUGACAUGUUUGCGCCAUAAGUGUUUCAGCUCCGAUGCUUGACACGCGUUCAAACCACUUGAAACAUUUUAACGCGAUUACAAUUUAUUACUCCAUAAUAUCUGUACAAACUUUGUAGUACACUGUUGAACCUGCAUCUUGUUUCACAUUCGAAAUUAAAAAGAUAUCAAUACUGAAUCUUCCAUGAAAAUCGUUUCAAUGAUUUCUGACAUCAACUAGGUCAAACCCUUUCAAUCCUCACCGAUUCACGAUAUCAGCAUAAACACAAACUAGCCACGAGAAUAAAAUCCUCCUGCUCGUAAGGUUGCACAAACAUUUAACGAUUACUCUGCCCGCUCGCUGAUAUCCGACGCGUCCAACGUUUGUAUGCGUUUGCACAAACACACUUGGCUCUUCGUGUUUCUUCGUGUCGGUGCACGAGUCCGCCGACUGAAGGGUGGCGCUUCAGACGACGAAGGGUUCAGGCAUACGCGUAUACCCGGUAAAUUGAUCCAAGAUCAAAGCCGAAACAAUCACAGGACUCACUUCCAGUUUCCCUCUCGUCCCUCCCUCUCCCUCUCGC